CAGAGGUGUGUUUCCAUGGUGAUUCUAAAUAAAGUCAAGUCAACAAUGAAGAUACAGCAUCCUAGGAAACCUCACACACCGGAGUCCUAUCCAGAUCCUCCUUUCCCAUCUUCUUCUCUGCCUUUCCUGUGGGGGGAGGGAGUCACUGACGGAUUUCAGAAGGAUACACACAGAAUGGCAAUGGAGAAAGAGGACAUCUGCCUACCCAGCCAGAUCAGCUCCGUCAACCCUUGGAAACAACGGGGCGACGAAUGUCAUAGUCCAAACACCUCACAUUUGAGAGAACUAUAUUUCAAACAACUUCAGUGGGGUUUAGAAGAGAUCGUUGAGCUCAUAGCAAGAACUCUUGAGAAACAAAUCAUAAGAGAGAAGUUUUAAUAUUAGAAGCUUGCAUCAAUAUUUAGCUACUUUACCCACUUGGGCCGCUUCUCCCUGGACCUGCUUCCCUUCUCUCCUUCCCUCUCAUCCUUUCCUGGGAGUCAACGCCCGAGAGGGCCAGUGAGGACACACUGUGGAGUCACAGAAGCCUGGACCUGCUGGCGUCUACUCUGGCUGCUUGCACGUUUUUUUCCCAGUCUCAUGUGGUUGGUAUAUGGUUCACCACCUCGAGGGCCAGGACUUCUGCUUGGAGCUUGUUGGGAGGGACAGUGACAGAAGGAGCAGCUCCUUAGCAGAUGGCUGGACACCAGACAGCACAGCUGGAGGUGGUGGGGCUCUGAGACAGCACAGGACAGACAGACAAGUCACUGAGAGAGGAUGCGGUGUAUGGGAGACAGAGCUGGAGCUGGGGAAGGGCAGCACAGUGGCUUCCUUCAUCCCUAUGCACAGAGCCAGUGUGCGGGACAUAAUGGACACACCAUCGGCACCUCAGCCAGGCUCACCCAGGCAGCACCUGAAGCUGUGGAUGCUGGCUGGGAUUCAGAUCCACAGCUGCCUGGUUCUCAAGCCCAGUCUUUUUCUUGUGCACAGGCGGCCGUCUGAGGGGACAUCUGCUCUGGGACUCGGAGAAUGGUGCAGGGACCUCCAGAAUAAAUUAACUGUCUUCAGAGCAGUGUAAAAGAACAGACAAAAAUGAGAAACACAGAGAUGAC